GGCUAUGGUAGGAUAUAUUUUGCAUUUGCGAUGUUUAAUUAAAUGUUCCAAUUAUUUAACUUACCCUAUAACUAGCCUACUGUAUUUAGGCCUAGGCUACUAUACGCCAUUUCGAUCGUGAGCCGAAAAACAAAACAAAACGACGACUAGAAAAGAUUAAAUAAAUAAAUAAACAAUUAAAUAAAUAAAUACGUGGCCAAUGUGGGCUUCCGUAGACUGUCACAAUUUUGGGUUGCUGCAUUCUAAACUUGAAAUCUACUACUUGCUAGUUGCUACUAUUUGAUGCUAUCUACAUUAAUCAGUUUCUUAAUUCAGAUUUCUUCUAAAUUCAGCUCCAUACUGACAAAAAAAAAAAAAAAAAAAAAAAAAAAAACCUGUAUGGACUCCUGAAACGCAAUCCAUUUAUGGAGCUCACCCAAGAGCACUCCAGCUGUUUUCCCCACAUGGUUGUGAUUUUGAAUUCUGCGCGGGAGCACAGGCAGCGCUCUGGCUCAGCCCACCGCCAAGAGAGACUGCUGCCCCAAAUAAACAGCUACAGGAGAGAUGAAAUGAAAGAGUGGAUUACAGCGAAGGGAAAACAGAGUGUUCUUUGAGGGCCGCAGGGGUACAGAGUGAUGUGAUGAGCUAAAGAGACUGGCUGACACUCAGAGAAGAUUUUCACUCUGCUCCGCAAGUGCCUGUGAGGUUUUAAAGGUGUGGACUUACACUAUUUACAUGAAUGCGAAGAUGUUGGUUCCAAUUCAUAGGUAAUUGUCCCUUCUGGGUCUGGAUGCUGGGAGUCUUGAAGGAGCCUAGCUCAAGAUCAUGGCGAGUGCUAAUCUUCUUAUACUUAAGGGAUAUCAUUGGCAUCAUGAUGAGUAAUUCUCUGGACAUCCUUUGAAAGGUGGGCCAUAGCCAACAGGCAGGUGAAAUCAUGCCACACUACACCUAUCUUGCCCAGAUGGCUCUGGCAUUCUCCGCCAGAGAAUUACUUCUCAGACUGGAAAUGGCGCCUUCAUCGAAAAUGAGGUCAAUCGAUUAUUUGAGCCUGGGCUGAGGCUUUCCCCCUUUGCUGCAGUGUAACAGCAAGUGCCUUCUCUUAAUUGGCGUGUGAGGGAGUUCAACACCCUGUGAAGAACCUGAAAGAAAACAGUCACAGGGCAGUGCUGUCUCCUCCUCAUUUACUGUGUGAAUGUGUACAGUAGGUCCAGGCACACAGUGUUGUGACUGAAUAAAGCGUGUCUCAACUCCUUCUCAUUAAUGUUGCCUAAACACACCCACACACACACAGACACAUUGCUGUCUUCACAUAGCUCAAAAUAACCCCAGUAAAGCAGCAGCCAUUUAUCUGUAUCUGGGGAACUGAUCCAAUUACAGAGCUUACAUUUGCAUCCAUCAACCUUAGAGGGGGAAAAUUCUCUGUGAAAAACUGGUCAGCUUCUUUCACCCAAAAAAAAGAAAGAAAGAAAAGAUGAUUGCCCCUCAUUCUCCUGCAUAACUUCCAUCAUCGGGCUUGGCUUUCUUCCCCAGGUGGGCUGCAGAUAAUGGCCGCUGACUCCUGCUAUCUCACAGAGCAGUGCAUCAGAACAGCCAUUAGGCUAAAUAUCAGUGUCAUAAUGUUGAACAGAUGUCUAGAAGAAAGGGAUCAUUUAAAAAGGCCAAAUGUAAAUAAACAGGCAGCUUGUAGACCUCCCUUCAUCCCCUCUUUCCUCCGUCCCCCGCUCCUCUCCCCCCGUUCUCGUGGACCCUGUGUAGUGCCCAAAAGAAAACAGUUCAUCAAUCUUAAUCUGAACCAUUAAGAAUGUAAUAAUACUAGCCGCUUAUCUAGGCAAAGUGG